UGAGGAAUAUUGGUCAAUGGGCGAGAGCCUGAACCAGCCAAGUCGCGUGAAGGAAGACGGCCCUACGGGUUGUAAACUUCUUUUAUAGGGGGAUAAAAAAGAGUACGUGUACUCUCUUGUAGGUACCCUACGAAUAAGGAUCGGCUAACUCCGUGCCAGCAGCCGCGGUAAUACGGAGGAUCCAAGCGUUAUCCGGAGUUAUUGGGUUUAAAGGGUGCGUAGGCGGGUUGUUAAGUCAGUGGUGAAAGGUUGACGCUCAACGUUAACAUUGCCAUUGAAACUGACAGUCUUGAGUACAAAUGAGGUAGGCGGAAUGUGUUGUGUAGCGGUGAAAUGCAUAGAUAUGACACAGAACACCAAUUGCGAAGGCAGCUUACUGGAAUGUAACUGACGCUGAGGCGCGAAAGCGUGGGGAUCAAACA
rnacentral:rRNA from 1 species